rnacentral:rRNA from 1 species
CUUAUCAACGCUGAGGUGUGAUGACGAUGCACUACGGUGCAGAAGUAGUUGAUGCCAAGCUUCCAGGAAAAGCCUCUAAGCAUCAGGUAACAUUGAAUCGUACCCCAAACCGACACAGGUGGUCAGGUAGAGAAUACUCAGGCGCUUGAGAGAACUCGGGUGAAGGAACUAGGCAAAAUGGUGCCGUAACUUCGGGAGAAGGCACGCUGGCAUUAGGUAAAGAGACUUGCUCUCGGCGCCGAAGCCAGUCGCAGAUACCAGCUGGCUGCAACUGUUUAAUAAAAACACAGCACUGUGCAAACACGAAAGUGGACGUAUACGGUGUGACGCCUGCCCGGUGCUGGAAGGUUAAUUGAUGGGGUCAGCCGCAAGGCGAAGCUCUUGAUCGAAGCCCCAGUAAACGGCGGCCGUAACUAUAACGGUCCUAAGGUAGCGAAAUUCCUUGUCGGGUAAGUUCCGACCUGCACGAAUGGCGUAAUGAUGGCCAGGCUGUCUCCACCCGAGACUCAGUGAAAUUGAACUCGCUGUGAAGAUGCAGUGUACCCGCGGCAAGACGGAAAGACCCCGUGAACCUUUACUAUAGCUUGACACUGAACAUUGAGCCUUGAUGUGUAGGAUAGGUGGGAGGCAUCGAAGUGUGGACGCCAGUCUGCAUGGAGCCAACCUUGAAAUACCACCCUUUAAUGUUUGAUGUUCUAACUCGGCCCCGUGAUCCGGGGUGAGGACAGUGUCUGGUGGGUAGUUUGACUGGGGCGGUCUCCUCCCAAAGAGUAACGGAGGAGCACGAAGGUUAGCUAAUCACGGUCGGACAUCGUGAGGUUAGUGCAAAGGCAUAAGCUAGCUUGACUGCGAGAGUGACGGCUCGAGCAGGUACGAAAGUAGGUCUUAGUGAUCCGGUGGUUCUGAAUGGAAGGGCCAUCGCUCAACGGAUAAAAGGUACUCCGGGGAUAACAGGCUGAUACCGCCCAAGAGUUCAUAUCGACGGCGGUGUUUGGCACCUCGAUGUCGGCUCAUCACAUCCUGGGGCUGAAGUAGGUCCCAAGGGUAUGGCUGUUCGCCAUUUAAAGUGGUACGCGAGCUGGGUUUAGAACGUCGUGAGACAGUUCGGUCCCUAUCUGCCGUGGGCGUUGGAAGAUUGAGAGGGGCUGCUCCUAGUACGAGAGGACCGGAGUGGACGAAUCACUGGUGUUCGGGUUGUCAUGCCAAUGGCAUUGCCCGGUAGCUAAAUUCGGAAGAGAUAACCGCUGAAAGCAUCUAAGCGGGAAACUUGCCUCGAGAUGAGUCUUCCCUGGGGCUUUAAGCCCCCUGAAGGAACGUUAAAGACUAUGACGUUGAUAGGCUGGGUGUGUAAGUGCAGCGAUGCAUUGAGCUAACCAGUACUAAUGAUCCGUGAGGCUUAACCUU